GCCCCCACAGCCAUGUUAGGAACAGGAGGAGAACCUCGUCCUAAUAUGAGCAAAGUCGAAGAUCCAGUUAUUAAGAGCCGGAUGGGGGGAGAGGCCCUCGCAACGGUCCUUAUGUGCCCACAGUCCUGUUAGGAACAGGAGAAAAAUCUCAUCCUAACAUGAGCUGAAAUUGACUGUGUCGGGAACAGAAAAUGAAGACCUGAACGUUUAAGACCGGAUGAGGAGAAAAGCCUCCUCAAUGGCUCCUCUACACCCCUACAACUCCGUUAGGAGCAGAGAGAAAACCCUCGUCCAAACGUUAAAAAAAAAAAAAGAGGGAGAGAAAAAGGAAAAGCGACGAGCUAUGUCAG
rnacentral:lncRNA from 1 species